ACUUACAUUUCAGUGGAUCGUAUAAUAGAGCAAUAUAAACAAGUCAUUGUCUGUAUGAAAUUGUAGUUUGUACCGACUUCACUAGUGCUUUUUAUGUAUCCUGUUGUAAAACUAGGCAAAUAUCUAGAUGGGUUGAUGUACCCCAUGGAAGAUCUCUGAGUAUCCCCAGGGUUCAUAUACCCCUGGUUGAGAACCACUGGCAUAGACUAACCAAU